UACGUAGGGGGCUAGCGUUGCUCGGAAUGACUGGGCGUAAAGGGCGCGUAGGCGGUUUGUACAGUCAGGUGUGAAAUUCCCGGGCUCAACCUGGGGGCUGCACUUGAUACGUAUGGACUGGAGUGGGGAAGAGGGUCGUGGAAUUCCCAGUGUAGAGGUGAAAUUCGUAGAUAUUGGGAAGAACACCGGUGGCGAAGGCGGCUAUCUGGACCGACAUUGACGCUGAGGCGCGAAAGCGUGGGGAGCAAACAGG
rnacentral:rRNA from 1 species